GGUACUUGAAGAGAGGUCUCCCAUGGUGCAUUCGCUUGAUUUUUUGGACGAAUCAUACAUGGUUGACCUUUUUUUAGGUAUC
rnacentral:pre_miRNA from 1 species